rnacentral:rRNA from 1 species
UACGUAGGGAGCGAGCGUUAUCCUGAUUUACUGGGUGUAAAGGGCGCGCAGGCUGUAGAUCAAGUCAGCUGUGAAAUGUCUGGGCUUAACCCGGGCAUGCGGUUGAAACUGAUGUACUGGAGUGCUGUAGAGGCAAGUGGAAUUCCCAGUGUAGCGGUGAAAUGCGUAGAUAUUCGGAGGAACACCAGUGGCGAAGGCGGCUUGCUGGGCUCUAACUGACGCUGAGGCUCGAAAGUGUGGGGAGCAAACAGGA